rnacentral:rRNA from 1 species
AUACGUAGGGGGCAAGCGUUAUCCGGAUUUACUGGGUGUAAAGGGAGCGUAGGUGGCAUAUCAAGUCAGAUGUGAAAGCCCGGGGCUCAACCCCGGGAUUGCAUUUGAAACUGGUUUGCUAGAGUGCAGGAGAGGUAAGUGGAAUUCCUAGUGUAGCGGUGAAAUGCGUAGAUAUUAGGAGGAACACCAGUGGCGAAGGCGGCUUACUGGACUGUAACUGACACUGAGGCUCGAAAGCGUGGGGAGCAAACAGGAUUAGAUACCCUGGUAGUCCACGCCAUAAACGAUGAAUACUAGGUGUCGGGGAGCAAAAGCUCUUCGGUGCCGUCGCAAACGCAUUAAGUAUUCCACCUGGGGAGUACGUUCGCAAGAAUGAA